rnacentral:lncRNA from 1 species
GCUGCAGCUUCUACCCUCUGGCUUACCACGUUUUAUCUCCAGCUCUUGCAUAAUUCAAAGCACAAUACUUCUGUGGGGUGAAUGAGUAUCUUCAACUGAUAUAGCAGCAGGACUUGGAGGGGAAAGUGGAACUUCCUCAAGUUUUGAUCAAGAGAAAGUAAGCAGCUGGGUGUGGUAGCUUGUGCCUGCAAUCCCAAAACUUUGGGAGGCCAAGGUGGGAGAUCACUGGAGGCCAGGAUUUCGAGACCAGCGUGGCCAACACAGAAAUCUCAUCUCUACUGAAAAUACAAAAAUUAGCCAGGUAUGGGUAUGCACACCUGUAAUCCCAGCUACACAGGAGGCUGAGGCACAAGGAUCGCUUGAACCUGGGAGGUGGAGGUUGCAGUGAGCCGAGAUUGUGCCACUGCAGUCCAGCCUGAGUGACAGGAAGACUCCGUCUCAAAAAAAAAAAAAAAAAGGCAAAGUAAUCACACAUCAAAAUCUGACUAGAUUCACUGGACUUUCUGUUCACCUGUUAAAUAGAGUAUGCAAUAGCAUUCAACAUCUUGGUGGUAACAGCAUUCAACGUGCCUGUCUCUUGAAUUGCGCUGCUCCGAUCCUCACAACUGUCCCCUGGAGCACAGCUGUCAUGCUGCGAUCUUCCUCCAUCAUCUUGGGGAUUCUCUCUGCCUCUGUCCUGUGUUAGAUCUCCUGUUUUAUUAUGGACAUAUAAGAGUUGUACACAUUUAUUGGGUAUAUGUCAUAUUUUGUUACAAGGAUACAAUGUGUAAUGAUCCAAUCAGGAUAACUGGGAUACCCAUCACCUGAAGGAUCUGUCAUUUCUUUGUGUUAGGAACAUUUCAAUUUCACUGUUAGAUAUUUCGAAAUAUACAGUAAAUUGUUGUUAACAACCUUUGAAGAUUUUGCGGUAUAAGUGUGGUUUGUUCUCAGCUUUCCCCCUGGCAGCUUGGGA